rnacentral:rRNA from 1 species
AACGAACGCUGGCGGCAUGCCUAACACAUGCAAGUCGAACGAGACCUUCGGGUCUAGUGGCGCACGGGUGCGUAACGCGUGGGAAUCUGCCCUUCGGUUGGGAAUAACUGAGAGAAAUUUCAGCUAAUACCUUAUAAUGUCUUCGGACCAAAGAUUUAUCGCCGAGGGAUGAGCCCGCGUAGGAUUAGGUAGUUGGUGGGGUAAUGGCCUACCAAGCCGACGAUCCUUAGCUGGUCUGAGAGGAUGAUCAGCCACACUGGGACUGAGACACGGCCCAGACUCCUACGGGAGGCAGCAGUGGGGAAUAUUGGACAAUGGGCGAAAGCCUGAUCCAGCAAUGCCGCGUGAGCGAUGAAGGCCUUAGGGUUGAAAAGCUCUUUUACCCGGGAUGAUAAUGACAGUACCGGGAGAAUAAGCUCCGGCUAACUCCGUG